rnacentral:misc_RNA from 1 species
CCGAGUUUACAACUCCCAAACCCCUGUGAACAUACCACUUGUUGCCUCGGCGGAUCAGCCGCUCCCGGUAAAAACGGGACGGCCCGCCAGAGGACCCCUAAACUCUGUUUCUAUAUGUAACUUCUGAGUAAAACCAUAAAUAAAUC